GAUGAAGAACGCAGCGAAAUGCGAUACGUAAUGUGAAUUGCAGAAUUCAGUGAAUCAUCGAGUCUUUGAACGCACAUUGCGCCCCCUGGUAUUCCGGGGGGCAUGCCUGUCCGAGCGUCAUUGCUGCCCUCAAGCACGGCUUGUGUGUUGGGCCCCGUCCUCCGAUCCCGGGGGACGGGCCCGAAAGGCAGCGGCGGCACCGCGUCCGGUCCUCGAGCGUAUGGGGCUUUGUCACCCGCUGUAGGCCCGGCCGGCGCUUGCCGAUCAACCCAAAUUUUUUAUCCAGGUUGACCUCGGAUCAGGUAGGGAUACCCGCUGAACUUAAGCAUAUCAAUAAGCGGAGGA
rnacentral:misc_RNA from 1 species